rnacentral:rRNA from 1 species
GACGAACGCUGGCGGCGUGCUUAACACAUGCAAGUCGAACGGAAAGGCCCUGCUUUUGUGGGGUGCUCGAGUGGCGAACGGGUGAGUAACACGUGAGUAACCUGCCCUUGACUUUGGGAUAACUUCAGGAAACUGGGGAUAAUACCGGAUAGGAGCUCCUGCUGCAUGGUGGGGGUUGGAAAGUUUCGGCGGUUGGGGAUGGACUCGCGGCUUAUCAGCUUGUUGGUGGGGUAGUGGCUUACCAAGGCUUUGACGGGUAGCCGGCCUGAGAGGGUUACCGGCCACAUGGGGACUGAGAUACGGCCCAGACGCCUACGGGAGGCAGCAGUGGGGAAUAUUACAGAAUGGGCGGAAGCCUGAUGCAGCAACGCCGCGUGCGGGAUGACGUGCUUCGGGUUGUAAACCACUUUCGCCGGUGACGAAGCGUGAGUGACGGUAAUGGGUAAAGAAGCACCGGCUAACUACGUG